rnacentral:rRNA from 2 species
UUUCCGUAGGUGAACCUUCGGAAGGAUCAUUA